UACGGGGGGAGCAAGCGUUGUUCGGAUUUACUGGGCGUAAAGGGCGCGUAGGCGGCGCAACAAGUCACUUGUGAAAUCUCCGGGCUUAACCCGGAGCGGCCAAGUGAUACUGUCGUGCUAGAGUGCGGAAGGGGCUACUGGAAUUCUCGGUGUAGCGGUGAAAUGCGUAGAGAUGUGGAGGAACACCAGUGGCGAAGGCGGCUUUUUGGUCUGUAACUGACGCUGAGGCGCGAAAGCGUGGGGAGCAAACAGG
rnacentral:rRNA from 1 species